rnacentral:lncRNA from 1 species
GUCAUAUUCAGAGGCUGCCGAGGAACAUAAUGAACCACAAAUGCCUGGUCUCCCUGAUGACCUUCUUACCACCAUGCUGGAUGAGCUUGAGGUCGAGUCUAUUGAAGAUCUGACCAUGGUGGAGGAGAGGGAUCUGGUGAAAUACCUCAAACCUAUCCAAAGUCGGAAGUUAAUGAAGGGCAUCAAGGACGGACUUGUUACUUAAUACGGAGUUGGUCUCUGCUCCUGAUCCAAGUGCUCCAAGUUCCUCAACUCCAAGUUCUCCAAACAUAACAUUCCAGUCUCCAAAUCAACUGUUGCCCAGCCCUCCAUGCACUGCCCCAAACACGUCAAGCACUUCACCGCCUGGCGUACCAUGGCAUGUUGACUUUCGUCUCAACUGGGACCAGGUGUCAUCAGCCAUUCGACUUAGAGUGGAAAAAGAAGAAAGACCAUUGCCAGACGAGAGAAAGGCCUUCGUGAUCGUGCUCGUGGACCAAAUAAUGCAGCUUGACCGCAACACAACCAGAGCCAUGUGCCACAGUGUGGUGAGAAACAUUGUUUUUGUCGUAAGUGCCACAAUCCUGACAUGUUUUCUAAUUAUCCCACCCACAUUUUCAGGAGCCAUCCAAAAUCAUUUGGCGACAUUGGCAAGCACUGUGAUAUUGCUGGAGACGGAUGUCAAAACUUACGGAAGUAAAAACAAGAGUGUAGUACAAAAACAGGAAUAACACUCUUGCUGAACACCGCAGAGAAAGAAGACCGUGUACGGGAAUGGCAGGAGAGGCCAGACUGGUAAGAGGCCCUGUUGACCAAUACGGGUAUGUGACAAUAUACAUGCAAAGUCCGUCAAUGUUUGUUUAAAAGCAUUGUAUAUGACC